CCUCGCUGCCUCGACGGGGGAGCCGGCAGCAGGGCCGCGGCCGGGGCUGUGCGCGCUCACGGGCGGGCAACGCCCUUCCAGUCAGGCCGUCUGGCGGGAAGAAGGGGACGCGCAAGGGCCGCCCGCCCUCCCUCCUAUGGCGGCCGGCUGGCCUUCCCUCCCCUCAACGUCCUUCCAGUCAGUCAGUCAGGCCGUCUAGGCGGGAAGGGGGGGACAAGAAGGGCCGACCGAUCACCACCGCCCGCCCAUGGCGGCUGGGCUCGGCCCCGCUCCCCGGCGCUUCCUCCCCGAGCGCGAACAAAGGCCGCGGGCGCUGAAGGAAGAGGAGGGGGCGGGAGAAGGGGGGAUGAGUUGUUUCGCUUCUGCCCCGCCGCGCCCAGGCCGCAAACGCGCCUUGAAAAGCCUGUCGUGAACAAAAGAAAAAGCAGAAGCCCACAAACGGCGUUAUUUGAGCCGGGAAUCGCCCGGAGAGAGCAGGGCUCGGAGGAGGAGGAGCUGAUACCCCUUCACCCAUGUUGAAUACUGGGCCUCAGAUAAGCCAGGCAGGACAGAUGUUACCAAGAUGGAAUCUUCUCACACCAGUGCUCACAUACUAAAACAUUGUUACUUACAAAUGGAAAGUCCGUGCUCUGCCACCUCUUCAAAUCCAUGGAAUCUGGGUAAGGAAACCCGACCAGCCAAAUGUGUUUACACACGCUGGGUAUAACCACAUACACACAUAACUCAUUUUUCACCACACCUAUUCUUUUGUAAAUAUACAACUGUUGCAGUAGUUCCUGUUUCUGAUCCAGUGACUUCAUUACAUUUUAUUCUGCAGUGAAAAAUUUGAUUGAUAUACAGUUAUACUACUGGUAUGAAGAGGGAUUAUGAAGAUUGAAAAUGGUUGUUUUCAGGGUGGAGGGUUGUUUCAGGUGGGGUGGGUGGGGCUUUUUUGUUUUGUUUUAUAAAUCUCACUGGACAAAUCCAUUUUGCUGCACUUUAAAAUCUUUCACAUUACUGUGUGCAACACUUUAAUUCUGAAUUCUUCAUAUAGUUCUGUACUGGAAGCUACUCUAUAUGCAGUAUCUUUAUUUUUUAAAUUUCUUUUUCAUUUUUUGAUCUUCACUUUUUUGGCAUGUGCAUACAGGUAGAUACAGAAACCAUCCUAGAUUGGAGUAUUUAGUGGGGACUUACUUGACACAUGUCCUUAUCUGUUUCUAUAUAUUACAAAAAUAUUGUUCAUAACUGAAAAUUUAGCUCAAAAUAUCUGCUAAUACCUGAAGAUCUAAUUUACAUAAUUAACAAAACCAAGUCUUCAUGUUUUUUUGUUAGGCCACUCGGAAGUAGGUAGCCCAGCCAAAGCACAUUAAAAUACCUGAAAUGGAUUGGAAAUGUAACUCACACAAUUUCACAAAAUGGUGACACUUCUCAAACCUGAGGCAUCCCUGUGUGCUAGGACUUGGUCAGCUGAAGCAAAAAUAGAAGUUUUUCUCCAGAAGCUUGGUUUAGAUCUAAUGAAAACCCCUCCUGUAAGGAGGUUGCUCCAUAGUUCUCAGUUGCAAAAUUUCUUGCACUUUUUUCUCAAUCAGCUGAUAUUAACCCCUUUAUAGAGAACAUACUGAAUUAAACGAAUCUUUAGGCAGUUUCACCAGUUUGUGUGUUUCUCCAGCUUUUUCAAACACACUGGCAAAACUAGCCAGAGUCUGUGGUACCUGGUACACUGCUACAACACCUGGUUUUGCAGGUUGCUCUGCCAUUCAGAACCUGCCUGUUACAGCCCCACAGCAGCACACUGGUGGCGAGGCUGUGAACAAUCAGUGCUUCAAGCCUUUUUUGUGGAACAACCAAGGAAUUGAUGGUUAAAAUGAAAAAAUGGCUGUCUCACUAUUACCGUGGAACUCUUCCAAAUGGGGAACAAUUAUGCCACGCAUAGUUCUAUACUUUUACCAGCUCCUGAUUAACUGGGCAUCUGCUUAAGCAGAGCCAAUAAUUGCAUGCACAUCAAAAGUUGCUCUCUAGUUUUCAGCCUCCAAGCUCUGUUUUCACUCUCACAUGUCCAUGACUGCCAUCAACAGGUAAAAAUGAAGGCUACUGAGAGGUUUUAAAAAUAUUUGUGAAAUGCAGGUUUAGGAAUCUUGACAACCAAAUGUCCUCAUUGAAUGAUGCCAUGAUGCACACUGCAGUACUUGUGGAGUAUUCCAUCUUUAUCAGUGUAAUAGUUAAAAAGGCAACUGCUGCUUUUCUUAGGCUGCAGGAGUAGGAAGCCUUGUUCAAAAGCGAAAAGGUAGAUGGACAGAUAAGGCAGAGACAGUCCUGAGAGAAGGGGUUCUUGUUCAACAAGAGCAGCAAGGAUGUAACUUGGUCCCCAAUGAAUUAAUGGGUACAGGCUUUAUUUGCAAGUGAAAUUGUCAUUGCACAUGGUCUAGAAAUACACCAUAUUCAUGUCUUAUUGAAUGUUUUGUCAGUAUUUUUGUCAUUUCUUAGAAAGUAUUUCGGCUUUGCAUACAAAUAGCAUUGUUAUGGCGUUGUUAUAAUCAAAAUUUACAUAUCGUUAGCUGAGAAAAUAUACUGGAUAACUCAAGAUGCUCCUGAACUCUGAAAAA